CCUACGGGAGGCAGCAGUGAGGAAUAUUGGUCAAUGGACGCAAGUCUGAACCAGCCAUGCCGCGUGCAGGAAGACGGCUCUAUGAGUUGUAAACUGCUUUUGUACGAGGGUAAACGCAGAUACGCGUAUCUGUCUGAAAGUAUCGUACGAAUAAGGAUCGGCUAACUCCGUGCCAGCAGCCGCGGUAAUACGGAGGAUUCAAGCGUUAUCCGGAUUUAUUGGGUUUAAAGGGUGCGUAGGCGGUCGGAUAAGUUAGCGGUGAAAUCCCGAGGCUCAACUUCGGACUUGCCUCUGAUACUGGUCGGCUAGAGAGUAGUAGCGGUAGGCGGAAUGCAUGGUGUAGCGGUGAAAUGCUUAGAGAUCAUACAGAACACCGAUUGCGAAGGCAGCAUACCAAGCUACUUCUGACGUUGAGGCACGAAAGCGUGGGGAGCAAACAGGAUUAGAUACCCGGGUAGUC
rnacentral:rRNA from 1 species